GUUGGGUAGGGGAGCGUUCUGUAAGCCUGCGAAGGUGUACUGUGAGGUAUGCUGGAGGUAUCAGAAGUGCGAAUGCUGACAUAAGUAACGAUAAUGCGGGUGAAAAACCCGCACGCCGGAAGACCAAGGGUUCCUGUCCAACGUUAAUCGGGGCAGGGUGAGUCGACCCCUAAGGCGAGGCUGAAAAGCGUAGUCGAUGGGAAACGGGUUAAUAUUCCCGUACUGGUGGUAACUGCGAUGGGGGAACGGAGAAGGCUAGGUUGUCCGGGCGACGGUCGUCCCGGUUCAAGCAGGUAGGCAGAGUGAUUAGGCAAAUCCGGUCACUUAAUGCUGAGAUGUGAUGACGAACCACUAAGGUGGUGAAGCAAUUGAUGCCCCGCUUCCAGGAAAAGCCUCUAAGCUUCAGGUUACCAACAAUCGUACCCCAAACCGACACAGGUGGUCAGGUAGAGAAUACUCAGGCGCUUGAGAGAACUCGGGUGAAGGAACUAGGCAAAAUGGUGCCGUAACUUCGGGAGAAGGCACGCUGGCGGUAGGUAAAGUCCCU
rnacentral:rRNA from 1 species